GACAGAGGUGGCGAGCGUUGCUCGGAUUUACUGGGCUUAAAGGGCGCGUAGGUGGCCUUGUAAGUCAAAGGUGGAAUUCCACAGCUCAACUGUGGAACUGCCUUUGAUACUGCAAGGCUUGAGUCAGGUAGAGGAGGGCGGAAUUCCCGGUGUAGCGGUGAAAUGCGUAGAUAUCGGGAGGAAGGCCGGUGGCGAAGGCGGCCCUCUGGGCCUGUACUGACACUGAGGUGCGAGAGCGUGGGGAGCAAACAGG
rnacentral:rRNA from 1 species